UCCCUGGUGGUCUAGUGGUUAGGAUUCGGCGCUCUCACCGUUGCGGCCCGAGUUUGAUUCCCGGUCAGGGGAA
rnacentral:tRNA from 1 species